rnacentral:sRNA from 1 species
AACGGACAAUAUGUGCCCCUGUAUGUGUCAAUUGGAGAACUUGUUAAUUUGUCGAGCAGGUUCUGGAACCGCCACCUCACCUCACCACACCACACCACAGCACGCCACAGCACGCCACACACCACACCGCACCACACAGUGGUGUCUCCCCAUAUAGCCCCUUACUCAGCGACUCAAUCACUCAAUCAAUUAGAACCAGUUCUUUGUUCGGCCGUGCAAAUCGAGAGAUUGGAGACCCAAAAAUGGAUGUAAACUUCCGUUGUUGUGGCCCACGGUCCAUAGCUGUCUCGCUCUGCCCUUACUUGGAGAGCAGAGUGCAGUAGAGUACUCUUUCAAUGAACAGUUAUUGAACUGGAGAGUAGAGAGUGUAGAUAUCCAAUGGUCGUACCUGUCUCGCUUUUCCCACUAAUUGGCAUACGACGUCACGGUAGAUAAUGGCGUAGCGCAGUGUACUCUCUUCUUGUUAGCAGUUAUUUAACUAUCGUUGGUUUUGGGAGCACUGUAAUUGAAUUAAAACUGUAGUUUCGCGUUU